rnacentral:lncRNA from 1 species
GACAUCUGCUUCUGGUGAGGCCUCAGGAAGCUUCCACUGGUGGCGGAAGGUGAAGAGGAAGCCAGCAUUUGCAAGAAAAAUCUGAAGUUAAGUUUUGCUUAUGUUUGCAAUCAAGCAAGGUUUAGGUCACUUAAGAGGCCUAACUUGUUUUGUCUGCUCAGAGAUUCUUCAGGCCUGACCUCCACUUUAAUUUACUUGAAGAGCAUCGAAUAUGAAUCUGCAGAAUUUCAGUGAAACUAUAGAGGAAGAAUGGAGGAGGUGGAGCUGAGGCAGUAAUGCGAGUGAUGGGGAGCAGCUGUAAAUACAGAUGAAGCUUGGCUCGCUUGCCUGCUGCUCAGCUCCUGCUGUGCGGGCUGGUUCCUAACGAGCAAGAAGAAACCUGGAGGACACUUUGGUUUCAUCAAGCAACACUUGCCACCAGGAAGGCGUUGAGUGCCAAUUCCACACCCAAUACCCCCAGGCACCUUUGCAACCUUAAUGAGCUACUGCUGUCUUACUUGAGAACACCAGAGGGCGCUCAAGAGAGGAGGAGGCGACUGGCGACUAUCAAGAGCUGAAGUUGGAAAUAUGGAAUCCUCCCAAGCCGCUCAGAAAGUUUGAAGACACAGGGGGCAGGGACCCAGACUUAUGGAAGUCUCCGCCUCAGGCUGAAGAGAAUACAUAAUGAAAAGCUGCAUUUUCUGGGUACAUGCACACAUUUGGAGC